rnacentral:rRNA from 1 species
AUUGAACGCUGGCGGCAGGCCUAACACAUGCAAGUCGAACGAGUGGCGGACGUGUGUGUAAUGUAUGGGAAACUGCCUGAUGGAGGGGGACAACUACUGGAAACUGUCGCUAAUACCGCAUACCUUAAAAUGUGCCCAGAUGGGUUGUGGUAGUGGGGGGGGUAAAGGCCAACCAAGGCCACGAUCCCUACCGGGUCUGAGAGGAUGACCAGCAACACUGGAACUGAGAAACGGUCCAGACUCCUACGGGGGGCAGCAGUGGGGAAUAUUGCACAAUGGGCGAAAGCCUGAUGCAGCCAUGCCGCGUGUAUGAAGAAGGCCUUCGGGUUGUAAAGUACUUUAAGCGGGGAGGCGUUACCCGCAGAAGAAGCACCGGCUAACUCCGUGCCAGCAGCCGCGGUAAUAC